rnacentral:misc_RNA from 1 species
GAUGAAGAACGCAGCGAAAUGCGAUAAGUAAUGUGAAUUGCAGAAUUCAGUGAAUCAUCGAAUCUUUGAACGCACAUUGCGCCCGCCAGUAUUCUGGCGGGCAUGCCUGUUCGAGCGUCAUUUCAACCAUCAAGCCCCAGGCUUGUGUUGGAGCCCUGCGGCUGCCGCAGCCUCCCAAAACCAGUGGCGGGCUCGCUAUCACACCGAGUGCAGUAGUUUACUCUUCGCUCAGGGCGUGUGGCGGGUGCUAGCCGUGAAACCCCCAACUUCUCAAGGUUGACCUCGGAUCAGGUAGGGAUACCCGCUGAACUUAAGCAUAUCAAUAAGCGGAGGA